rnacentral:rRNA from 1 species
AUUGAACGCUGGCGGCAGGCCUAACACAUGCAAGUCGAACGAGUGGCGGACGGGUGAGUAAUGUCUGGGAAACUGCCCGAUGGAGGGGGAUAACUACUGGAAACGGUAGCUAAUACCGCAUACCAUCGGAUGUGCCCAGAUGGGAUUAGCUGUUAGGUGGGGUAACGGCUCACCGAGGCGACGAUCCCUAGCUGGUGUGAGAGGAUGACCAGCCACACUGGAACGGGGACAAGGUCCAGAGUACUACGGGAGGCAGCAGUGGGGAAUAUUGAAAAAUGGGCGCAAGUCUGAUGCAGCCAUGGAGCGUGUAUGAAGAAGGCCUUCGGGUUGUAAAGUACUUUUAGCGAGGAGGCGUUACUCGCAGAAGAAGCACCGGCUAACUCCGUGCCAGCAGCCGCGGUAAUAC